rnacentral:rRNA from 1 species
UACGUAGGGUGCAAGCGUUAAUCGGAAUUACUGGGCGUAAAGCGUGCGCAGGCGGUUUCGUAAGUCUGUCGUGAAAUCCCCAGGCUUAACCUGGGAAUGGCGAUGGAGACUGCGAGGCUAGAGUUUGGCAGAGGGGGGUAGAAUUCCACGUGUAGCAGUGAAAUGCGUAGAGAUGUGGAGGAAUACCGAUGGCGAAGGCAGCCCCCCUGGGAUAACACUGACGCUCAUGCACGAAAGCGUGGGGAGCAAACAGG